rnacentral:lncRNA from 1 species
UACAGAACGGGACACCAUGGGAGAGGGAGUGCUGCAAGGGUCGCACCACACCCUCCAACACACACACACACACACACACACACACACACACACACACACACACACACACACACACACACACACACACAACCUCACACACACACACACACACACACACACACACACACACACACACACACACACACACACACACACACACAACCUCACACAUACACACACACAAACACACACACACACACACACACACACACACACACACACACACACACACACACACACACACACACCACACUAUACAACCAAGGUCACACAACGAUAUACACACACCUGCCUGUCUGUUUCCACUCUCUAGGAAUGCAUUCUGAUCCACCAUAACUUGCAGGGUUGUACUGGGUAGCCCCCCCCUAGUGGCGACACAAGGAAUAUCACCAGUAAUGCUCUGGUUAUGAUUUGCCAUCUGAUGGGUUUUCAGAGGGGAAGAUGGACGUAGACAAGGACCUGGAUCAUCACAUGGACCACCAUAGGACCAGACAGCAUAUACCAGGAGGUUCAAAGACCCUGACAGCCCACCACCAGAAGUCUUCAUCUUGGACCCAGCAGACCAGCGCUAACCGGUCCAUGGAGGCUUCAGCAGUACCACAGCAAGACCCCAGACAAUCCACAAGGCCCUGUUACCCGGGCAGAGACCAGGCGGUAGCAGACCUCGCCUGUCCUCUAGUAUCCAUGGCAACAGAGGACUCAAGUACAGAGAUGGCCCAGAGAACAUGGAACGGACGAAAGAAGGAUGUGAGGAAGAAGAGGAGAGGAGAUGAGGAGCUAGGGAGGGCAGAGGAUUUCUCUGAGGACGAUGGCAGGCUCUGUCCACCGCCAGCCAAUAGCGGACAGGCUGCUAAGACUGCAGCCAAUAGGCAUACGUGUGUCACUUCAGGGGAGGAGGACCUAUCCCCCCCAUCCAGCCCCCCAGGAGGCCAUUGUAGGAGCAGGAAGGAGGAUAGAGAAAACUCAAACACAGGACAGGACUUGCCUGGGAGUCAGACAGGAAGUAGAACUCACCGGGACCAGAAGAAGAGAGGCAGGAGGGGGCGGAGCCUGUCAAAGCAACCACAAAAGGGUGAUCGACCAAUCAGGGACCAGGAGGAAGAGAGGAGCGACCGCCAAGAGGAUACAGAAACUCACAACACUGCGAUCUCCAUGGUUACGGUAGAUACAAUGUACUUGAUACAUGCGUUAUAUAUAUAUAUAUAUACAAGGCUGUUAAUUGAUGAUUGAUUGUUGGUGGAUGUCAUCAAAUCCUUCUGUCAGAGAGACCCAAGAAGAGAGAGGGGUGAGGAGAGGAGAAGGAGGCAGACAGGAG